rnacentral:rRNA from 1 species
GGCCGCGAAUUCGCCCUUAGAGUUUGAUCCUGGCUCAGAAUGAACGUUGGCGGCGUGGAUUAGGCAUGCAAGUCGUGCGGAGGUAGCAAUACCUUAGCGGCGGAAGGGAUAGGAAUACAUAGAUUAUCUGCCCCCAGGACGUGGAUAGCGGCGGGAAACUGCCGGUAAUACACGAUAACUUCCCAGGAACAAAGGUGAGAUUCCGCCUGGGGAUGAGUCUAUGUCCUAUUAGCUAGUUGGUAGUGUAAUGGACUACCAAGGCUAUGAUGGGUACGAGGCGUGAGAGCGUGUCCUCGAUCACUGGAACUGAGACACUGUCCAGACACCUACGGGUGGCUGCAGUCGAGAAUCUUCGGCAAUGGGCGAAAGCCUGACCGAGCGACGCCGCGUGUGUGAUGAAGGUCUUCGGAUUGUAAAGCACUGUAAGUUGGGAGGAAGUGUACGGGGGUAAUCCCCCAUACUUGACCUAUCUUCAAAGUAAGGACGGGCUAAGUUCGUGCCAGCAGCCGCGGUAAGACGAACUGUCCAAACGUUAUUCGGAAUCACUGGGCUUAAAGGGUGCGUAGGCUGUCUGAUAAGUGAGGUGUGAAAGCCCUCAGCUCAACUGAGGAAUUGCGCUUCAAACUGUCAGACUCGAGGGAUGUAGGGGUAAGCGGAACUUGCGGUGGAGCGGUGAAAUGCUUUGAUAUUGCAAGGAACACCAAUGGCGUAGGCAGCUUACUGGGUAUUUUCUGACGCUGAGGCACGAAAGCUAGGGUAGCGAACGGAAUUAGAUACUCCGGUAGUCCUAGCUGUAAACGCUGAGCACUUGGUCG